rnacentral:lncRNA from 1 species
UAUUGUACGGCAAACAUAUCUGCCUGGAUAUAUUUCUACUCUUGACCAAAGUUUUGUAAGAAAAAUUCAAGAUUUUGGGCAGGGGGCUGGGGAGGGAGGAUAUUUUACUGAGAACUAUUUACAAAAGACUUAUCUGUAAGUUUGAACUCAGGAGUACAGUUUUAGCUAUCUAGACUCUACUCUUUAACAGCUUUUGCUUUAAAACUAUUAAAGUGUUUCUUAACAAUGAAAAAGAAAGAUCUUGCUAAAGUUAAAAUAAGGAACAUUUCACCUUUUAAAUAUUUAAUUCUUGUGUGGACUCAUUUCCAGAAAAUUUUGGUGAUGAUUCUUGUGACAAAUGAUGGUUAAGUAGCAUUAUUAUGUAAUGCUUAGUACUGUAGAGUUUUUAAUAGAAGGUAAAUCAGUUUCCUCUGAGCGCCAUUAAUAACUGCGAACUUCCUUAAAUUUAGUUCCAUGAUUGUAAUGGGUGCUGCAAAUGCGUUUGCACAUUGCAUAUGAUGAGAUGAAUUGUUGAUAAAAAAUUAUAGCAAAAAGAAACAUAAACUUGGUUAAAAUUCUUCCAUGCUUUGUAUUGUUUUUUUUAAAAGAUUUUUAUUCCUUAAAUGUAAAAUGACUACCUGAUUUUUUGAUGUAAACUCAUUAAAUUCAAAGAGAGAAAAAUCAGCUGAUGUUGCACUACGUUGUUUUUUUUACCCCCCUCAAUAGUUAAAUAUUGAUGUAAUAUAAUUAGUAAGUAUAUCUUUCUUUUUUUUUUGGCCGCCCCAUAGCAUAUGGAGUUCUUGGACCAGGGAUCAGAUCCGAGCCUCAGUUGCCACCUAAGCCACACCUGAGGCAAUGCUGGAUCCUUAACCCACUGUGCUGGGCAGGUAUUGAACCUGCGUCCAGGGCUUCCAAAACACUGGCAUUCCCAUUGUGGUACAGUGGGAACUCCUGCAGUAAGUAUAUCUUAACAUGUCUCUCAAUAUAAAAGUAUUGCUUAUUUUAUUUUAUUUUAUUUAUUAUUUAUUUAUUUAUUUAUUCUUUUUGAUCUCUUUGUCUUUUAGGGCAUAUGGAGGUUCAAUCGGAACUGUAGCCACUGGCCUAUGCCAGAGCCACAGCAAUGCGGGAUCCAAGCUGUGUCUUCAAUCUACACCACAGCUCAUGGCAACACUGGCGGGAUCCUUAACCCACUGAGCGAGGCUAGGGAUCAAACCCCCGUGGAUGCGAGUCAGUUUUGCUAAAUACCACGGGAACUCCAAAUAUUGCUUAUUUUAAAAGUUAAACUUUUGGAGUUCCCGUCAUGGCUUGGCGGAAACAAAUCUGACUAGGAACCGUGAGUUGCAGGUUGAAUCCCUGGCCUCGCUCAGUGCUUAAGGAUCUGGUGUUCCUGUGAGCUGUGGUAUAGGCUUGGAUCCUGCAGUGCCUCUGGCAUAGGCCAGCAGUUGUAGAUCCAAUUCUGUCCCUAGCCUGGGAACCUCCAUAUGCUAUGAGUGUGGCCCU